rnacentral:rRNA from 1 species
UACGGGGGGUGCGAGCGUUAAUCGGAAUGACUGGGCGUAAAGGGCACGUAGGCGGUUAGUUAAGUUAGAUGUGAAAUCCCUGGGCUUAACCUAGGAACUGCAUUUAAGACUGGUUAGCUGGAGUAUCGUAGAGGGGGGUAGAAUUCCACGUGUAGCGGUGAAAUGCGUAGAGAUGUGGAGGAAUACCGGUGGCGAAGGCGGCCCUCUGGACGAGUACUGACGCUGAGGUGCGAAAGCGUGGGGAGCAAACAGG